rnacentral:lncRNA from 10 species
CUGAUUUGCAAAUCACUUUCAUGUAUGUUGUUUACUUGUGUAUGUUAAGCCUAAACCUAGGCAGUGCAGCCUAGUAGUGAAGAGGAAGCUACUGGAGCCUGACUGAUUAGAUCCAAAUGCUUGCAUUCUCAUUUAUCAGCUACAGGACCUCCAAGACCUUGGGAAAUUACUUAACCUCUUCAAGCUUUGGCUUCGUCAUUUCUAAAAUGGGGAUAACAGUCCUACUUCACAGGAUUUUAGUCAGGAUUAGAUGUCAUAAUGCAUCUAAAAAUUUCUACUUAUUAUUAUUACUGCUAGCUAUAGGAGAGAAUGCUCUGGCUUAAUCCAAAUAACUUUCUAUUCAUUUUAACAUAUAGUUGGUGUCUUGAGAAUGUUCUUUCCUGCCUAAAUUAUUUAAUCUUUAUGUCCAUGUUCUUCCUAAAGGCCUCUGAGUCAGCUGUGGGCUGUGUGUGUGUUUGGUGUGAUUAAGAUUAGAAAAUGGAAAAUAUAUUGUGGAUCCCUCUACUUAAGAUGGCUGACUAGGCCAGGGGCGGUGGCUCGUGCCAAUCCCAGCAGCACUUUAGGAGGACCGACGGGACAAGUGCUUGAUCCCAGGAGUUCGAGAGUAGCCUGGGCAACAAAAGGAAACGCCAUCUCUACAAGAAAUUAAAAAAAAAAAAGCCAGGCCUGGUGUUGCGUGCCUGCCGUCCUAGCUACUCCCGAGGCUGAGGCGGGAGGAUCACUUGAGCUCGGGAGGUUGAGGCUGCAGUAACUCGAGAUCUCGCCACUGCACUCCAGCUUCUGCGACAGAGCGAGACCGUGUCAAAAAAAAAAAAAAAAAAAAAGGCUGACUAGAAACAGCUAGUGUGCGCCACUCUCACAAACAGAAGAAAGUGAUCAUCCAGGUGGACACUCUGGGAUUCAGCGAGGAAACAACACAACCCACGGAGAACAAAGACGAGUAAGACAGGAGAGCCUCCCACCAGGAGUGGUACGGAGCCAGGAGAGGCCCCCAACAUGGGGAAAUGGUGAGUGAGUCAGAGUGCCUGGGGACCCACACUUCUGCCAGGGGACUUUUGCAACACUGGGCUCAGGAGAACACCCAUGACCUCUCCCAACCGGGGCCUGCAGACUGACAGGGAGAGCUAGGUGGAGUCUGGGUGGAGCCGCCACUCAGGCACAUGCAGAGUGCUGGUGGCCUUGGAUCCCAGGGCAACCCAACACCAGCGGCUGCAGUUCCGGCAACAGGGAAGGUCAGGCUCCUUCCCACACCACCAAGAUAGAGACCACACCCACGGGGCUGUGCAGUGGACAAACUGCAGGGCUCACCUGCACUGCACCUCCUCAGACAAGGUCCACUGGCCUGGGACCUUAGCGUAGCCACCCAGCGCCAGCUGAUCUCUCAGGCCACUAGCUGCUCUGCGCUUCCCUGGGACGGAGCUCCCAGAGGUAGCAGGCAGGCCGCCAUUUUCGCUGCUCCACAGCAGUCCCUCCUGUUGCCCUCAGGCUCUGGAGGGAGCACCGUGAUUACGCACUCACAGGGACCCCCAGUACAGCACAGCUGCCUUACAGUAAAGCGGCCAGAUUGUUUUCCACAUGGGUCCCCAGCCCAGCGCCUUCUCACUGGGCAGGGCCUCUUGACCUGGAAUCCCAGCCACCCCUUGCUUGGACCAUUGGGCUGGUAACAGUUCUGCACUUCCCUGAGAUGGAGCUCCCAGAAGUAGCAGGUGGGUCGCCAUUUUCGCUACUCCACAGCCCUUGCUCCUGUUGCCCUCAGGCUGAGGAGUGCAGUGAUUAGGGACUCACGCGGGGCUCCAGCACAGUGCAGCUGCCUUACGGAAAAGGAGCCAGACAGUUUUCCAUGCGGGUCCCUGCCCCUGCUACUCCUCACUGCGCAGGAUCUCUUGACUUGGGACCCCAGCACAGCCACCCUGCCCCUGCUUGAACACUUCCGUUGGUGGCAGCUCUGCGUUUCUCUGGGGAGGAAAUCCCAGACAUGAUCCACAGUCCCUCGGUCACUGAAGCUGCAGUGGUAUUGCCCUUAUUGCCCUCAGGCUGGGGAAGAAACAAAGGACCUGGUUGCCUCGCUGGAACCUCCAGCAUGCUGCAGCCACCAUACAGAGAGGAGCCCAGUCUCUCUUCUCUGUGAGCCCCUAUCUCCCACCCUUCACCAGGCAGGGCCCCCCAGCUCGGGACCACAGAGCAGCUACCUCACCCCCAGCUGAGCAUUUCCACUGGUAGUGGCUCUGUGUUUCCCUGGGGUGGAGCUCCCUGAGGCAACCGACAGCCCCGACAGCCCCAUUGCCACUGCAGUGGUUCUGCCCUUGCUGCCCUAGGACUGAGGAAGGAACAAAGGGCCUGAGGGAUUUACUUGUGGCACCAGCAUGUCAAAGUCACCAUAUGGAGGGGAUCCCAGUCUGCGCUCCCUGUGAACCCCCAACUGCCUGCUCUUCACCAGUUGCCCCCUACCUUGGGCCAGCUGCACAGACACCCCACCCCCUGACUGAACAUUCCCAUUGGCAGCAGCUCUGCAUUUCUCUGAAGUGGAGCUCCCAGAGGCAACUGAAAGCCCCUCUGCCACUGCCACUGCAGUGGUACUGCCACUGCAGUGGUACUGCUCCUGCUGCCCUUGGACUGAGGAAGGAACAAAGACUCUAACUGCUUUACCUACACCUCCAGCAAGCUACAGCUGCCCUAAGGAGAAGCCAGUCCACCUCCCUUAUGAGCCGCCUGCACCCUCCUGCUCAUCACCAGGGAGGGCCUCCAGGCUUGGGCCCACAACAUGGCUGCCCCACCCCGGACUGAUUGCACCAAUUGGUAGUGGCUCUGCAUUUCUUUGGGAUGGAACCCCAAGACACAAGUGAAAGGCCCUCUGCCACACCACUGCCAAGGUCCCUUCCCCCGCUGCCUCCAAGCUGGGGAGGGAACGUAAAACCUGAGCUGGCUCGAGGGCUGCAGUGUGCAGCCCAGGAGUGCCAAGCCAAGAUCUGCAGCCAGCACUUGAGGGGAAGAGGAGCCCGCACUCUAAGAGCACUGAGAGAAAGCACAGCUGCAAACAUGAGGAGAUGCAGAAGAGCCAUGUGACUGAGCAAGAGCCUACCUACUGGCCAUUACGUUAACCGCCAUCUACCCGAUCGCAGUCUAAAGUUCAACACCAAAAAUACUUUGCUAAUACAACCCCUCAUGAAACCAAGGACAAGAAUUCAGCUAAAAAUAAAGACCCUGCACAAAACUUUGGCAUGCUGAAAACAUUCAGAAAUGAAGUCAGCUGAUUAUAUUUUCAAAUUACACUACAGUUAAGGAACAUCAGCUCACACAGAUGAGAAAGAAUCAGUGCAAGAACUCUGGAAACUCAAGCCUAGAGUGUCUUUUUUCCUUCAAAUGACUGCACUGGUUCCCUAGCAAGGGUUCUUAACCAGGUUGAAAUGGCUAGAAUGACGGACAUAGAAUUCAGAAUAUGGAUAGGAAUGAAGAUCAUUGAAAUUCAGGGGAAAGUCAAAACUCAAUCCAAGGAAUGUAAGGAUUACAAUAAAAUGAUACAGGAGCUGAAAGACAAAAUGGCCAUUAUAAGAAAGAACUGAUCUGAUAGAGGUGAGAAACACACUACAAGAAUUUCAUAAUGCAAUCACAAGUAUUUAUAGCAGAAUAGACCAAGCUGAGGAAAGAAUCUCAGCACUCAGACUGGGUCUUCAAUUUAACUCAGUCAGACAGAAAUAAAGAAAAAAGAGUAAAAAAAAAUGAACAAAACCUCCAAGAAAUAUGAGAUUAUGUGAAGAGACCCAACCUGUAAUCACCCAACAGUUUCACCUUGUCUGCUGCCUAAACAGCUGAUUUAUCAAGACAAGGGAAUUGCAAUAAAGAGUCAUUCAUGCAGAGCCGGCUGUGCGGGAGACCAGAGCUUUAUUAUUACUCAAAUCAGUCUCCCUGAGAAUUUGGGGAUUGGAGUUUUUAAGGAUAAUUUGGUGGGUGGGGGUGGGGCCAGUGAAUCAGGAGUUCUGAUUGGUCAGGUUGGAGAUGAAAUCAUAGGGAGGUAAAGCUGUCCUCUAGUGCUGAGUCAGUUCCUGAGUCAGACCAGAUGGUCCAGUUUAUUGAUCUAGGUGGAGCCAGCUGAUCCAUCUAGUACAGGGUCUGCAAAAUAUCUCAAGCACUGAUCUUAGGUUUUAUAAUAGUGGUGUUAUCCCCAGGAGCAAUUUGGGGAGGUUUAGAAUCUUGCAGCCUCCAGCUGCAUGACUCCUAAACCAUAAUUUCUAAUCAUGUGGCUUAUUUGUUAGUCCUACAAAGACAGUCUA